AUUGAACGCUGGCGGCAGGCCUAACACAUGCAAGUCGAACGAGUGGCGGACGGGUGAGUAAUGUAUGGGAAUCUGCCUGCUGGAGGGGGAUAACUACUGGAAACGGUAGCUAAUACCGCAUACCAUCGGAUGUGCCCAGAUGGGAUUAGCUUGUAGGUGAGGUAAAGGCUCACCUAGGCGACGAUCCCUAGCUGGUCUGAGAGGAUGACCAGCCACACGGGAACUGAGACACGGCCCAGACUCCUACGUGAGGCAGCAGUGGGGAAUAUUGCACAAUGGGAGCAAGCCUGAUGCAGCCAUGCCGCGUGUAUGAAGAAGGCCUUCGGGUUGUAAAGUACUUUCAGCGGGGAGGCGUUACCCGCAGAAGAAGCACCGGCUAACUCCGUGCCAGCAGCCGCGGUAAUAC
rnacentral:rRNA from 1 species